rnacentral:rRNA from 1 species
UACGUAGGGUGCAAGCGUUGUCCGGAAUUAUUGGGCGUAAAGAGCUCGUAGGCGGUCUGUCGCGUCGGCUGUGAAAACCCGGGGCUCAACCCCGGGCCUGCAGUCGAUACGGGCAGACUAGAGUGCGGUAGGGGAGACUGGAAUUCCUGGUGUAGCGGUGAAAUGCGCAGAUAUCAGGAGGAACACCGGUGGCGAAGGCGGGUCCCUGGGCCGUAACUGACGCUGAGACACGAAAGCCAGGGGAGCAAACGGG